AUACGAGGGGUGCAAGCGUUAAUCGGAAUUACUGGGCGUAAAGCGUUCGUAGGCGGUUUGUUAAGCAAGAUGUGAAAGCCCUGGGCUCAACCUGGGAACUGCAUUUUAAACUGGCAAACUAGAAUACUGUAGAGGGUGGUGGAAUUUCCAGUGUAGCGGUGAAAUGCGUAGAGAUUGGAAGGAACAUCAGUGGCGAAGGCGGCCACCUGGACAGAUAUUGACGCUGAGGAACGAAAGCGUGGGGAGCGAACAGGAUUAGAAACCCCAGUAGUCC
rnacentral:rRNA from 1 species